GCCCGAGUGGCGAAAUGGCAGACGCAGCGGACUCAAAAUCCGCCGAGGGCAACCUCAUGUGGGUUCGACUCCCACCUCGGGCA
rnacentral:tRNA from 1 species